rnacentral:rRNA from 1 species
GACGUAGGGCGCGAGCGUUGUCCGGAUUUAUUGGGCGUAAAGAGCUCGUAGGCGGCUUGUCGCGUCGAAUGUGAAAACCCAGGGCUCAACCCUGGGCCUGCGUUCGAUACGGGCAGACUAGAGUACGGCAGGGGAGACUGGAAUUCCUGGUGUAGCGGUGAAAUGCGCAGAUAUCAGGAGGAACACCGGUGGCGAAGGCGGGUCUCUGGGCCGUAACUGACGCUGAGGAGCGAAAGCGUGGGGAGCGAACAGG